UAAAGCGUGCGCAGGCGGUUUUGUAAGACUGUCGUGAAAUCCCCGGGCUCAACCUGGGAAUGGCGAUGGUGACUGCAAGGCUAGAGUUUGGCAGAGGGGGGUAGAAUUCCACGUGUAGCAGUGAAAUGCGUAGAUAUGUGGAGGAACACCGAUGGCGAAGGCAGCCCCCUGGGUCAAAACUGACGCUCAUGCACGAAAGCGUGGGGAGCAAACAGGAUUAGAACCCGUGU
rnacentral:rRNA from 1 species